rnacentral:rRNA from 2 species
GCAUAUCAAUAAGCGGAGGAAAAGAAACCAACAGGGAUUGCCUCAGUAACGGCGAGUGAAGCGGCAAGAGCUCAAAUUUGAAAUCUGGCUCCGUUCGGGGUCCGAGUUGUAAUUUGGAGAGGAUGCUUCGGGACUGGCCCCCAUCUAAGUGCCCUGGAACGGGCCGUCAUAGAGGGUGAGAAUCCCGUCUGGGAUGGGUGGCCUGGCCCGUGUGAAGCUCCUUCGACGAGUCGAGUUGUUUGGGAAUGCAGCUCUAAAUGGGUGGUAAAUUUCAUCUAAAGCUAAAUAUUGGCCGGAGACCGAUAGCGCACAAGUAGAGUGAUCGAAAGAUGAAAAGCACUUUGAAAAGAGAGUUAAACAGCACGUGAAAUUGUUGAAAGGGAAGCGCUUGCAACCAGACUCGCCCGGGGGGGCUCAACCGGCACUCGUGCCGGUGCACUCCCCCCCGGGCGGGCCAGCGUCGGUUUGGGCGGUCGGUCAAAGGUCCCCGGAAUGUAUCACCUCUCGGGGUGUCUUAUAGCCGGGGGUGCAAUGCGACCAGCCCGGACCGAGGAACGCGCUUCGGCUCGGACGCUGGCGUAAUGGUUGUAAGCGGCCCGUCUUGAAACACGGACC